rnacentral:rRNA from 1 species
AUGUUGAUAAGCGAGGGUGCAAGGCUCAAGGGAAGCCGGUUCUCUAACUCUCUGUAUGCUUAUGGUAUCUUGGAUGAGGGUUACAAAUUCAACGUGUUAGUUGAGGAAGCUACUGAGUUAUCAUGGCGGGCCUUUAUCACGCAACAUUCCGUGAUGGAGCCAGUGGUGGUUGUAUUCGUAUUGGUAUGCAUUCUAUUUCGUGGUAUCUAUCCUAAUAUUUGUUUUGUUCAGUCGAUAAGCAUGAUACAACAUGCAUGCAUAUUUGUUAAACACCUUAUCAUUAUAUCUUCCUUUUGA